rnacentral:tRNA from 1 species
GGCUUUGUAUUCAAUUAUGAUAUUAAAUUGCAAAUUUAAAGGUGUAUAAAAACUAAAGCUU